AUGGGCAUCUAUGAGAACAGGAUGCUGGACUAGAUUGGCUUCUUCUUAUGUUUUUACAAGCGAAACUUCAUGCUCUUUCGUCUUCAGUAGGUUGAAUGAUCCGAACAGAUAAUUAACUCUAUCAAUGCUUCAUUUUUACAUAUACACACAUGCACAUAUAUAACCCUAAUGAGUUAUUUUUAAUUCCCAUGAUGAGCAAGACAGAAGUAAGGAGCAGAGCUGAACUGAGUAGCCCCACCACCAAUGUCAUAUUCUCCUUCUCUAAUGUCAAUACAUACAUUUAAAUGCCGUUGCACACACAAAGGCAUCUUGAGGAUUAGGGUCACAGAAUUUGGAGAAGCCAUCAUUUAUACAAGUAGACACAAAAGACACCCUGUAUGCACACCUGUCAAGAGAGGAGGGUCCAACAUUUAAGGUGGAGCUACUCAGCACAGCCAAACUCACUGCUCUCAUGUUAUUCAACAAUGGAGUGAAGAAUACCUAAGUAGGGCUAAUAUCUAUGGGUGCUAUUCAACUGAGUGUUAAAUAGUGUGGAUCCAUUAAAGUUAAUGGACCUAAUUUCAUUAAUGUAGUGGGUCUGCCCUAUAAUCUAUACACACAAGACAAAAUGGUCUUCCAUCUAAGGAAAGUAAAUUAAUAAGAAAAAAAACAAAUAAACAUAAAUUCUGUGGUAUAAGUGCUUUUCAAAGCACAGUGGCCUGAACAGCAGGGGGAUUUCUUCUUUUAUCAUUCCCAUUUCAUUUCACCAAAAUUGUCAUCACACAGUAAUAUGGAAACACCAUUAAGAUCAACAUUUGGAUAAAUUUGGAUAAAUGAGGAAAGAAACAGAAAGGCUCAUAUAAACACAACUUUUUCAAUCAGCUAUUUAAGGCUAUUCUAUUCAUUUUUAAUUUUUACUUAAAGUAUUUUAAUGCCCCCAUUGUAUAUUACCAGGUACACAAUUAAAAUACAAUACCAUAUAACAACGGUGGGGAACCUAUUUAGCCUGGCGGGGCAGGUUUUAUCUCCCCCUGUUGGCCAACUUUGAUGGGUGGGAGGAACAACCCACCUGUCAGUCAUUAGGUGUCAUCAUGACACCUGGUGAUUGACACCUGUCAAAGUCCCUUUUACAGCACUUACCAAGCGCCAGAACCAGCUGGUUGUCAGGCACUUAGGAAGCACUAAACAAUGGCUUUGCAAUUCCUAUGCUCAGCACUUGGGGAUUGCCAGAGCAUAGCAGGGAAAGCAUGCAAUAGCCUCAGGGCCAUUGCAGAAAAGGCCCCUUUUCAGGAGUAUUUCUGAGAGAAGGCAUCUGCCACCCUGUUCUCUUUCAUGCUCCAGACCUCUCAACCCAAACCUUGCCUUCUGUCACAAACAUCAGUCUGAUUCUUCUCCUAUACUUCAAGUGCUGAUGAAUUAAAAACCAUAACAGAAACAGGAAACAGUUUGUUAUCUCUUAAUUCUGAUUUACUUUGCACGUAAACAGAGUGGAGUGAAUCAUAUUUCAUGCCAAGGAAUUUAUUUUCCUGUCAAUAACAAUCUUGUUAGCCGCAUUGUGAGCAGAAAUAUUCACGUCUGGAUCUGCAAAGUGUAUGAGGCACGCUUACUUAUGUACUAAUCCUAAGAGGACAAUGCUCGAGAGAUAAGAGGCAGUGGCUGGAGUCAAGACAUUGCUUGGCUCAUUCAAAACAUCUCAAUUAUGGCCAAUCACGGUCAAUGCCACCCACAGGGAAGAAUUAGAUAAGGAAACAAUUCUCUCUCUCUCUCUAAGGGGACACUUGGGCUUACAGGAUAAUAAUUUUGCUGACAACACGGAGGCCACUAAUUCAUAAUGAAUAAUUUAUUCCAUGCUUUCUUCUACCUUUUGCUUCUUUCUUACUUAUUCUAAUUUUGCCCAAUCAGACUCCCCACCUGUCCCCUCAGAUUUGAACUGUAAUCAGAUUUAUCUGAAGAAGAAAAAUCUUUCACUGAAUGUACUGAUGUUCAGAUAUAAUUCAUUGACAAUAUACUAGCAAAUAACAUUUGAUUGGAUGUGCUUUAACAAGGCAAUCCAUUUCUUACAGAUACAUAUUGCAUGAUGUGCUUACCUAUGCUCUCAGAAUGGUAAGUGCUAGGUGUAUGGAACUGUCAGGGCCGGCCCACCCAUGAGGCGAAGUGAGGUGAUGCCUUAGGCAGCAGGAUCCACAGGGGCAGCAGAUCCCCGUUGUAGCUCUUUAUUCUGCCAACCCUCCCUUGUUCCUGAUGCAGACCUUCACAUACCCCUUCUUCUCUGAUGGGGAGGGAGACACCAUUUUGUGCCAAAAUGUUUUGGUCUGUCGCUGAGAACUGUUCUGUGAUGGGGCCAAAUAACAAGGCAAAUCAAGGUGAUUUGAGGAGAUUUUAUCCCAUCCUGAGUUGAACCACAUUGUCACCAACCCUUCUCUCCACCCCAUGGUCAGAAGAGGAUCCACUGGGUGGUCUUGGGCAAGUUAUUAAGCUUCAAAUUAUAACCACUUCAGGAACAACCACUUCACAAAGCUCUUGCAAAACUCUAUCUUCAUCCAAGUUAUAUUCUGUUUUAAAAUUUCUAUAUAAGUGUUUAGCAGUAAUCAUGAAAAUGCUUAAGACUGCUCUGUUUGCAAAAUCUGUCAGAAUGCCAUAGGUUUAUUCACUAGAACUCUGCAUUUCUAAGUAAUCUAAAAUCCCAAUUGGAGCAAAUUAGAACAUAUGUUAUCUGCAGUGGGAUGUUGUUUUUGCAGGGUGCAGGGCAAUAAUUCUUUAUGAAAUUACUGAAGAUAAAAUACAUGAUAUCUACUAUUUGGUAUUCUUGCUGAUAUUUUUACACACAGCAAGAAAAAUUCUGUCUUUGCCUUGGGGAUGCAGCAGUAAUCAUUUGAUUCAUAUUCAAUGUUGGGAUGUAUUGUUUUUGUAGAAUUAUACACCAUUGCUUGGUACCAACCUCCAAAGAUCCUUGGCUUAUGAAAAGACAUGAGCAACAGAAAGGAAAUCAUGGUCUGAGAACAGAACUUCAUGUCAGAUAUAGAAGACACACAGAAAGAAAUAAUAUAUGUGAACAGUCUGGUUUUCAUUAUUUAAACGUUAUUUUGGGUGCUUCUGAGAAACCAGUGGGGUGGGGUACAAACUCAGGCUAUUUUUUCUUAUGUGAAUUCAGGCCAGAUUUAUUGGCAAUCUUACCAUGUGAAAAUAUAUUUUAUUAAAAUAAUAUUCUCAUUUGCUAAUUCCUGCUUGCUUCCCAUCCUACAUGAGCUGAGGACCCAUUGACAAAUGGCAACUGUACUCAUAAAUCAGUUAUGUGGUGAAAGGCAACAGUCACUUGACAAAUUGGAGACUUCUCUUUAUUUUAUGUCUCAGUACAGUUUACAUGAUGAAAAUAGUUGAGAAAGUGUUUAGAUGGGGUAAAAUUGUGUGCAUUCCCUAGAAAUUGUUACAGC